UACGUAGGUGACCAGCGUUGUCCGGAUUUACUGGGCGUAAAGAGCGCGCAGGCGGUCGUUCAAGUCGUGUGUGAAAGCCCCCGGCUCAACUGGGGAGGGUCACUCGAUACUGAUCGACUUGAAGGCAGGAGAGGGAAGCGGAAUUCCCGGUGUAGUGGUGAAAUGCGUAGAUAUCGGGAGGAACACCGAUGGCGAAGGCAGCCCCCUGGGCUAACACUGACGCUCAUGCACGAAAGCGUGGGGAGCAAACAGG
rnacentral:rRNA from 1 species